GCAAGUCGAGGGGUAACAUGAGAGCUUGCUCUUGAUGACGACCGGCGGACGGGUGCGUAACGCGUAUGCAACCUACCUAGUACAAGGGAAUAGCCCGUGGAAACAUGGAUUAAUGCCCUAUAAUAUUUCGAGUCAUAAGGCUUGAUUUGAAAGAUUUAUUGGUAUUAGAUGGGCAUGCGUAUGAUUAGUUAGUUGGUGAGGUAACGGCUCACCAAGACGAUGAUCAUUAGGGGGUCUGAGAGGAUGAUC
rnacentral:rRNA from 1 species